rnacentral:rRNA from 1 species
UAAGCGGAGGAAAAGAAACUAACAAGGAUUCCCCUAGUAACUGCGAGUGAAGCGGGAAAAGCUCAAAUUUAAAAUCUGGCAGUCUUUGGCUGUCCGAGUUGUAAUCUAGAGAAGUGUUAUCCGCGCUGGACCGUGUACAAGUCUCCUGGAAUGGAGCGUCAUAGAGGGUGAGAAUCCCGUCUUUGACACGGACUACCAGGGCUUUGUGAUGCGCUCUCAAAGAGUCGAGUUGUUUGGGAAUGCAGCUCAAAAUGGGUGGUAAAUUCCAUCUAAAGCUAAAUAUUGGCGAGAGACCGAUAGCGAACAAGUACCGUGAGGGAAAGAUGAAAAGGACUUUGGAAAGAGAGUUAAACAGUACGUGAAAUUGCUGAAAGGGAAACGCUUGAAGUCAGUCGCGUUGUCCAGGGAUCAACCUUGCUUUUGCUUGGUGCACUUUCUGGUUGACGGGUCAGCAUCAAUUUUGACCAUUGGAAAAAGAUUAGGGGAAUGUGACAUCUUCGGAUGUGUUAUAGCCCUUGGUUGCAUACGAUGGUUGGGAUUGAGGAACUCAGCACGCCGCAAGGCCGGGUUUUUAACCACGUACGUGCUUAGGAUGCUGGCAUAAUGGCUUUAAUCGACCCGUCUUGAAACACGGACCAAGGAGUCUAACAUGCCUGCGAGUGUUUGGGUGGAAAACCCGAGCGCGUAAUGAAAGUGAAAGUUGAGAUCCCUGUCGUGGGGAGCAUCGACGCCCGGACCAGACCUUUUGUGACGGUUCCGCGGUAGAGCAUGUAUGUUGGGACCCGAAAGAUGGUGAACUAUGCCUGAAUAGGGUGAAGCCAGAGGAAACUCUGGUGGAGGCUCGUAGCGAUUCUGACGUGCAAAUCGAUCGUCAAAUUUGGGUAUAGGGGCGAAAGACUAAUCGAACCAUCUAGUAGCUGGUUCCUGCCGAAGUUUCCCUC